ACCUGGGUGGCUCAGUGGGUUAAGCAACUGACUUCAGCUCAGGUCAUGAUCUCAUGGCCCGUGGGUUCAACCCCACAUCAGGCA
rnacentral:tRNA from 1 species